UACGAAGGGGGCUAGCGUUGUUCGGAUUUACUGGGCGUAAAGCGCACGUAGGCGGAUUGGUCAGUUAGGGGUGAAAUCCUGGAGCUCAACUCCAGAACUGCCUUUGAUACUGGGGAUCUCGAGUCCGGAAGAGGUGAGUGGAACUCCGAGUGUAGAGGUGAAAUUCGUAGAUAUUCGCAAGAACACCAGUGGCGAAGGCGGCUCACUGGCCCGAUACUGACGCUGAGACGCGAAAGCGUGGGGAGCAAACAGG
rnacentral:rRNA from 1 species